GGCUGGAUGGCGCAAUCUGGUUAGCGCGCAUGAUUCCAAAUCAUGAGGUUGGGGGUUCGAGUCCCUCUCCGGUCA